CUUAGAAGUGUAAUGAGGAUAAUUUACAAACCUUACCGAAUGCAAUUGGAGGGCAAGUCUGGUGCCAGCAGCCGCGGUAAUUCCAGCUCCAAUAGCGUAUAUUAAAGUUGUUGCAGUUAAAAAGCUCGUAGUUGAAGUUCUGAUUGCUCAGGUUUCCAGCCUUAGGCGGAGAUACUGACAGUCAUCCGCUUGCAAACAUAUGUUCGAUCUUCACCGGUUGGCUAUGUGAGUAAGCACUUUACCUUGAGAAAAACAGAGUGUUCCAGGCAGGUUUGUCCGGGAUGCAUUAGCAUGGAAUAAUAGAACAUGACUGAAGUCGAUUUAUUGGUUUAAGGCUUUAGUAAUGAUUAAUAGGAACAGUCGGGGGCAUUCGUACUCAGCAGUCAGAGGUGAAAUUCUAAGAUUUGCUGAAGACGAACUAAUGCGAAAGCAUUUGCCAAGGAUGUUUUCAUUAAUCAAGAACGAAAGUCGGG
rnacentral:rRNA from 1 species